CAUCUGGUCUCGCCGCACUGCUCAGUAACACGUAGUUAACUUACUCUAGCUAGGGGAUAAUCCUGGGAAACUGGGGCUAAUACCCUAUAGCUGUUGUAUGCUGGAAUGCUUCAACAGUCAAAGCUCCGGCGGCUAAGAAUAGGGCUGCGGCCUAUCAUGGCAGUUGUGAGUAUAAGGUACUCACAAACCUAUAACGGGUAGGGGCCAUGAGAGUGGAAGCCUCGAGAUGCAUUCUGAGACAUGAAUGCAGGUCCUACGGGACGCAGCAGGCGCGAAAACUUUCCAAUGCCUUAACGGGUGAGAGGGGAACCCUGAGUGGAUACGUUUUACGUAUUCUUUUGUCCUGUCUAAACAGCAGGGCGAAUAAGUGGUGGGUAAGACGGGUGGCAGCCGCCGCGGUAAUACCCGCGCCACGAAUAGUGACCGCGAUUAUUGGGUUUAAAGCGUCCGUAGCCGGUCUGGUAAGUUCCUGGUGAAAUUUGCUAGCUAACUAGUAAGCUUGCUGGGAAAACUACCAGGCUCGGGAUCGGGAUAGGAUAGGGGUAUUCCACGAGUAGGGGUUAAAUCCUUUAAUCCGUGGAGGACCACCGGUGGCGAAGGCGCCUAUCUGGAACGAGUCCGACGGUGAGGGACGAAAGCUAGGGGAGCAAACGGGAUUAGAUACCCCGGUAGUCCUAGCUGUAAACGAUGCCCGUUUGAUGUUGCAGGCACUACGGGAGCUUGCAGUGUCGGAGCGUAAGUGUUAAACGGGCCACCUGGGGAGUACGACCGCAAGGUUGAAACUUAA
rnacentral:rRNA from 1 species